CGGUUUGUAGUUUAAUUGGCAAAACAUAGUUCUCAUGAAG
rnacentral:tRNA from 1 species